rnacentral:rRNA from 1 species
AACGAACGCUGGCGGCAUGCCUAACACAUGCAAGUCGAACGAGACCUUCGGGUCUAGUGGCGCACGGGUGCGUAACGCGUGGGAACCUGCCCUUAGGUUCGGAAUAACUCCCCGAAAGGGGUGCUAAUACCGGAUAAUGUCUUCGGACCAAAGAUUUAUCGCCUUUGGAUGGGCCCGCGUUGGAUUAGCUAGUUGGUAGGGUAAAAGCCUACCAAGGCGACGAUCCAUAGCUGGUCUGAGAGGGUGAUCAGCCACACUGGGACUGGGACACGGCCCAGACUCCUACGGGAGGGAGGAAGGGGGGAUAUUGGAAAAGGGGGGAAAGGCCGAACCCGCAAGGCCCGGGGAGGUAUGAAGGUCUUAGGGGUGGAAAGCUCUUUUAACCGGGAUUUAUAUGACAGUAACGGGAGAAAAAGCCCCGGCUAACUCCGUG